rnacentral:rRNA from 1 species
GUCCUAGCCGUAAACGGUGGGUGCUAGGUGUGGGGGUCGCAAGACUUCCGUGCCGCAGCUAACGCAUUAAGCACCCCGCCUGGGGAGUACGGCCGCAAGGCUAAAACUCAAAGGAAUUGACGGGGGCCCGCACAAGCGGCGGAGCGCGUGGCUUAAUUCGAUGCAAAGCGAAGAACCUUACCGGGGUUUGACAUGUUGGCAGUAGUCGCCCGAAAGGGUCGGCGACCCGUAGAGUCGGGUACCAGCACAGGUGCUGCAUGGCUGUCGU